rfam:Gossypium raimondii Chr04_contig_1090, whole genome shotgun sequence.
AAUAGGAGCAUGACAGAAUCAAAUUUUUCUUCCUGAUUUUCAACUUCUUUUUCUCUUGAAAAAAUUUAAAUCCAACGAAAAAGACUAAAAAUCAGGAAAGAAAAAUCUGAUUUGUCGUGUUUCUAUU